AUGGAUACUUGUAGUAACAAGUGUAGUUAUUAGCUGGCUCACAUCUUAGAAUGGAGAGCCAACAGGGUAGAAGACAAAGAUAAGACAAAAGCAAAUAAUGUUUUUUUCUCAUAACGGGUUUAGGGAGCUAUAGCGUUCUUGAAAGUUGUUUUUUUUAUGUGAAAGUUAAAAAUACAGUGGCUUAUUGCAUAGUACAGUCAUUGCAAAAUACAUUGCAGGCAGUUUGAUCCUAUUGAAUAGUAUUCAUGUCAGUCCUACGGAGACGGAACAGAUGAUUACUCUGUGUUUGCCUUGCACAGGGCAAGCUAACCUUCCCUGGUGGGUGGUGCUUUUGUAUCUGCUUCAAAGGCUCAGGCAAAGGAAGUCCACAGCUUCUUCCCUGAACUAGACAGCUACGUGUGAUUUAACUUGUGGAAUCUUGCUUGGACUCAUCCGUAUGGGAAAUUUGGCCAGAAAUUUCCUGUCACAGAAACAGUGGUGAUGCUGGAGAACUGCUUGUAAGGUACAGUCUCUUGGAUAAUAUCGGAUGCUGAGACAGAAAGAUGUCUUUCCAGAUGAAGAGGCUGAGUCCUUUCCAGUGCAAGAGCUCAAGUGCAAGGGCUGCCCAAAAUGUUGUGGCCCCAAAGACGAGUCACAGCCUAUCCAGUCAGUGUAAAGGAGGUGCCAAAUUGCUCAUGUUUCAGUGGUGAACAACAAUUGCCAACUUUGAAAUUGACAUCAAGCCUUGAGAUCCAACGUGGGAGUUUUGUUCUCAAAGCACGCAUCCUUAGAAGGGAAGCUAUUUCAGUGGAUGCAAAUAGCAUCAGCUGUGAACUCCACAUAGCAUAAGAAGAGCAGGGAAUAUGUGGAAGAAGAAUAAAGGAAAGGCUAAGGAGCUAGCACAUCCUAUCUGCAUCGUGCUGAUCCACUUGCUGUCAGGAGAACUGGUCCCAUCUUGGGCAGCCCUUAUGGGGUUGGGUUAUGCCCACACUGGGCGAUCCCCCCAUGUCUCUGCAUGCUGCACACCCCUCCUCUGGCCUAUGGGAGAUCAAGAGAGAGCUGCUUCCAUGCAGCUCCUGUCCCAAAGCCUCCAGCCUCAGCCCGGUUUCAGAAAUGGGAUUCACAAUCUCAACAGCAACCUGUUGCUGGUACGUAGAGAAUGCUUAUCAACAACUGCUAAGUCAUCUGCAAGCUUUUCAGCUGAUAUAAGUAUCUGCAUCCUUCUGCACAAGUGUUGUUCUCUUCGUGUCUCUGGGUUCUCUUCUGGGUUUAGCUGGCACUUGAUCUUGCCAGUAAAAUCUGAUGCUUCUUGCUAUAAUAAUGAGAAAGACUCGGGAAAGAAAAAUUAAGUGUUUAUGAGUCAGAAUUCUAGACUUAGCUCUUUUGUGCCACACUAAUGCAAUUGGAGUGAAUAAAAUCAUGCAUC
ensembl:lncRNA